ensembl:lncRNA HCG18 HLA complex group 18
GGAGUUUUUAGCCUUUUAACAUUCAAGGAUUAGGUAAGUUCUCCCCGCGGUAGACUUCAAAUACUCUUUGUCCUGCCCCUGCUUGGCGAAAUUUACCGAAAUUAUCUACCUAUCCCGCUGGAGUGGGAGCCGGGGGAGAGCUGGAACCGCGUCUCUGCUGCUCACCUUUGUGUCCUUAGCUCCUUCGCAUGGGGUCCGACCGCAACACGUGCGCUGGAUAAACGCUUGUUAACUGGAGCUCCCUCUUUGCCCACUAGCAGGGCAUUAGCUGGUGCUGAAGACAGUGGCUGCUUGGCGAGCCUGGAUCUCCAAGUGACCCCCUCAGCAACUCCUGAUGAACAGGACUGAAGCCAAUAUUAAAGCAAGUCAACCAAAGGUUCUCUGGUGUAGACAAGACAGCAAAAGGACAGACUACCUUGUGGAACCUAGCAUUGUUCUCCUUCUGCAGCACUAAGUAACAUUUGUUCUCCGUUAAGAUCUUUGCAAACCACACACAAGAAUUGCUGGUCAUCCUGCCAAUAGAUGCUGCUCACAGAACCAAAUUUCCUGUGCUGAAUUGUCACUCAUGGGCUUGAGAGUAGGAGACUGGAGACCAAGGUGGCUAGAAUCCAGUUGGGCCUGAUGUCUCCCUGUUGAAAGGGCUCCUUGUGGAAUGAAUAGCACAUGGCUCCUGUGGUGGAUCUGAUAGUGGCAUAGCACCAAGUGAUGCAGGCCUGCCAGGGGCCACAGACACAGAAGAUGCUCCCGGGGUCCCCCAUGUACUCCAGACACACUGCAGGCCACCUCUCCCAGCAGGUUGCCAGUCAUGGGCCCCAUCAUCAUGACUUCUGUCCAAGGUACUGUGUGCAGAAAUGUGAUUGAGAUUCAAGUCAGGGCCUCUCUGCCCUUUUCCCUCCAGAAACAAAACCAAGAUAAUUUAUCCUGAACACGGUGAAAAAAGGAAGGGAGGGAGGAGAAAAAGUCCGGGUCUCACCUGGGAUUCUCUGUCUCCUGCAACAUGAAGGAUUUAGCCUGGGAGGAGGUGGUGAGAACUCUGGGAGAGAAAAAAGAAGGAAAGAAUAGUUUUACCCAUGCUGAAGUUAAUUUAAACCUUCACCUAGAGAAGCAAAAAAAAAAAACCCACACUUUCCCAUUUUGUGCCUCCCUUCCUAGAGUUUUAGCCAAAGGUUUAGCUAAGUAAUUGGUUUUACCAGCGCACUCACUCCUCCUAUCCCAAGUCUGUUUGACUCCCUCCCCAUCAUCCUCCUCACCUCUUUUCAGGCAGGGUGGGGAUAGCAGCAGGAGGAGAUUUUGGGAGCCUGGCAACUCCUGCAAGGACCGCAGGACAGCCCCUCUGUGGGGAUGCGUGGUGCCCCAUCUGCCGCCCUUCUGAAGAAUGCACUGCCUUCACUUUUUACUGUGUUAGAGUCCAUCCAGACUGUUCUAUCCAAAAAAGUUUCUUUUUCCCCCACAGGCAAUCAGGAAAUGAUUCCUUUCCCGACUGCUUCUGUCUAGUGCCUGGGAAUCUUGAGUCAAUCCCUCAGUAAGUCAGUGACUAGGGAAAUCCCUCUCUGAGCCUCCCAGUUCAUGUUGCUUAGGGAACCUGAUAUUUUCGUGAAACCUGCCUACACAUGGGCAGCCCAACAGCAGAACAAAUGGUGGUGACCAAAGUGAACAAAGAAGUAUAGUUGUGCCAGCUUCGUAGUUGCCCAUGUGGACAAGUCAGCAGGAUCAGGACACGAGGAAGAGUAAAUGUGAGACAGUCAAUGUGACUUCUGCGAUAAACAGAUUUUUAAACCCCGAAAUUUUGCAAAAUUUUGGUGAAACCUGAACUUUCUUCGUUGCAUAUACUGGCACUAUCUGUACCAUCAUACAACUGUCUCACAUUAAAGCUAUUUUUCUUGGGCACUGAUGAGUAAGGUUGGUAUAAGUUCCUCAGAUCAACAAAAACCCAUUUUCCUGUAAGUCUUACAUUUAGUAUUUAAGGAACUAAAACUUAAAUACAUUUUGUGAAAUGGUUGACACUUCACUGAUAAUGAUUUAUUGCUUGGAUUAAUAAAUUUUCCAAAAGUUGUCUUAUGUAGAAUAUGGUUUGCAACCAGCAGAACCAUUAAUCUAUACUGCAAUGAUAUGCACUAUGUAUAAUUGUUUAAAAGCCUCUACUUAAUGAUGUAAAAUGCUCUAUUUAAUUACACAUUUGGGUAAACUGUAUACUAACAUCUGAUGGCAUUUUUCCACUGUUUGUUGCUUUUUUCAAAUACUUUAUUGUACAAAGCUGUUCUUAAUAUUUUUCAAGUUUUUUUCUUUGAAUUUUGCUAAUGUUUUCCUUGAAUUAUGAGCACUGACAGAAUGUGCUUAGCACUUUUGGCUAUUCACACAGCUUUUGAGCAUGAUUUGCAUCCAAUAUUUACAUUGCUAGCAAUAAUAAGCCAUCUGUGAGUUUUGUCAAAA